rnacentral:lncRNA from 1 species
UAGCAAUAUUCCGCCAGCUUCAUUUCAUGCAGUGAGUGGAACAAGAGUCAGAACACCAGGGCGGCUGAGCCUAUCGAUCAAGCCUCCACCUAAUGACAGACAUACUUGAGUCCCACAGUCAUAAGGAGGAUGAAGUCUCUCUCUGGCUGGACCUGGACUGCAGUCACACUCUAAGAGCUCCUCUUUCUACACCUCUGCCAGUGGGCGUUCGGUCAGAGACAAGCUAUGGCACCGGCUCCCGGACGCACGGGAGGACUCCUACCAGGGACAGAGUCCGCACAUUUAUGAGCACAGGAUAGGAUACAGGGAGGGCCAAAAAGGCAAACAGGUACCAGAGCAAUGAGGAAGCAGGACCCAGACCCCUGACUCCUAACUCCAGGUGAAGUCCACCCUGAGCUCAGGAGCAGAGCUGCCUCCAUCGGGUGUGGAGAGACAGAGCCUCCUCCCCAGCCAUGCCUCCUCAUCGGCCCACGGGAGCUGCUGUGACUCUGACCCCUGUACCUGGCUCUGUCGACCGGAAUAGUCAGUGGGCAGCCAGCACACCUUUGGGUGCUCUGUAUGAGUGGGAUUUUCUCCUGAUUAGACAUUUUAAAAGAUUGUCAACAAAAAGAACAAACUCUGUAAA